AGUGAACGCUGGCGGUAGGCCUAACACAUGCAAGUCGAACGGCAGCACAGUAAGAGCUUGCUCUUACGGGUGGCGAGUGGCGGACGGGUGAGGAAUACAUCGGAAUCUACUUUUUCGUGGGGGAUAACGUAGGGAAACUUACGCUAAUACCGCAUACGACCUACGGGUGAAAGCAGGGGAUCUUCGGACCUUGCGCGGUUGAAUGAGCCGAUGUCGGAUUAGCUAGUUGGCGGGGCAAAGGCCCACCAAGGCGACGAUCCGUAGCUGGUCUGAGAGGAUGAUCAGCCACACUGGAACUGAGACACGGUCCAGACUCCGACGGGAGGAAGCAGUGGGGAAUAUUGGACAAUGGGCGCAAGCCUGAUCCAGCCAUACCGCGUGGGUGAAGAAGGCCUUCGGGUUGGAAAGCCCUUUUGUUGGGAAAGAAAAGCAGCAGGUUAAUACCCCGCUGUUCUGACGGUACCCAAAGAAUAAGCACCGGCUAACUUCGUG
rnacentral:rRNA from 1 species